AGACCCCUGUAGUCCUAGCCGUAAACUAUGAACACUAGCUAUUUCCCGUAAGGGGAGUGGCGUAAGCUAACGCGUUAAGUGUUCCGCCUGGGGAGUACGGCCGCAAGGCUAAAACUCAAAGGAAUUGACGGGGAAACGCACAAUCAGCGUGCCAUGUGGUUUAAUUGGAUACGAAACCUUGAACCUUACCUGGGUUUGACAUGUACCUGCAAAUCUCUGGAAACAGAGACGCCUUCGAGGGUGGUACACAGCUGCUGCAUGGUUGUCGUCAGUUCGUGUCGUGAGGCGUCUAUUUAAGUAUAGUAACGAACGCAACCCCUGUGCUAUGUUAAAUAUCCAUAGCAGACUGCCACGGUUUUUUCCGUGGAGGAAGGAGGGGAUGACGUCAAAUCAUCAUGGCGCUUAUAUCCAGGGCUACACACAUGGCGUAAUGGAUGAGACAACGGGGUGCGAAGCCGCGAGGCGGAGCAAAUCCUAAUAAACUCAUCCUCAGUUCGGAUCGCAGGCUGCAAUUCGCCUGCGUGAAGGGGAGUUGAUAGUAAUCGCAGAUCAGCAACACUGCGGUGAAUACGUUCUCGUUUCUUGUACACACUGCCCGUCAAGUCAACAAAGUCAGUAGUGCCCGAAGUAGGUACCCAUAACCGCAAGGAUUGGGCCUCCUAAGGUAAGACUGGCGAUGGGGGCUAAGUCGUAAUAACAAGGUAUCCGUACUGGAAGGUGCGGAUGGAUCACCUCCUU
rnacentral:rRNA from 1 species